UACGGGGGGGGCAAGCGUUGUUCGGAAUUACUGGGCGUAAAGGGCUCGUAGGUGGCCAACUAAGUCAGACGUGAAAUCCCCAGGCUCAACUUGGGAACUGCGUCUGAUACUGGAUGGCUUGAAUUCGGGAGAGGGAUGCAGAAUUCCAGGUGUAGCGGUGAAAUGCGUAGAUAUCGGGAGGAACACCAGUGGCGAAGGCGACUACCUGGCCUGUUCUUGACGCUGAGGCGCGAAAGCUAGGGGAGCAAACGGG
rnacentral:rRNA from 1 species